UACGUAGGGUGCGAGCGUUGUUCGGAUUCACUGGGCGUAAAGGGUGCGUAGGUGGUGGGGUAAGUCGGAUGUGAAAUCUCGGAGCUCAACUCCGAAAUGGCAUUGGAAACUACCCUGCUAGAGGAUCGGAGGGGGGACUGGAAUACUUGGUGUAGCAGUGAAAUGCGUAGAUAUCAAGUGGAACACCAGUGGCGAAGGCGAGUCCCUGGACGAUACCUGACACUGAGGCACGAAAGCUAGGGGAGCAAACAGG
rnacentral:rRNA from 1 species